rnacentral:rRNA from 1 species
UACGUAGGGUGCAAGCGUUGUCCGGAAUUAUUGGGCGUAAAGAGCUCGUAGGCGGUUUGUCACGUCGGAUGUGAAACCCUGAGGCUCAACCUCAGGCCUGCAUUCGAUACGGGCAGACUAGAAUUCGGCAGGGGAGACUGGAAUUCCUGGUGUAGCGGUGAAAUGCGCAGAUAUUAGGAAGAACACCAGUGGCGAAGGCGGCUCACUGGCCCGGUACUGACGCUGAGGCGCGAAAGCGUGGGGAGCAAACAGG